CAAGUGAAGGGUUUGAUCCUGGCUCAGAACGAACGUUAGCGGUGUGGAUUAGGCAUGCAAGUCGUGCGUGAAAGGCGCAAGCCGAGUAAAGCGGCGAAAGGGUGAGUAACACGUAACCAAUCUACCCCUGAGACUGGGAUAACCUGCUGAAAGGCGGGCUAAUACCAGAUGGCCCUGCGUCGAGGCAUCUCGAUGCGGGUAAAUGGCGUAAGCUGCUCGGGGAGGAGGUUGCGGCCUAUCAGCUAGUUGGCGGGGUAAUGGCCCACCAAGGCUAUGACGGGUACCCGGUCUGAGAGGAUGGUCGGGCACACUGGGACUGAGACACUGCCCAGACUCCUACGGGAGGCUGCAGUCGAGGAUCUUCCGCAAUGGGCGAAAGCCUGACGGAGCGACACCGCGUGCAGGAUGAAGGCCUUCGGGUUGUAAACUGCUG
rnacentral:rRNA from 1 species